rnacentral:pre_miRNA from 1 species
GUACUACUCCCUCCGUCCGAAAAUACUUGUCGAAGAAAUGGAUGUAUCUAGAUGUAUUUUAGUUCUAAGUACAUCUAUUUUUAUCCAUUUCUGUGACAAGUAUUUCCGGACGGAUGGAGUACUUA